GGGCCCUUAGCUCAAUUGGCAGAGCAAGUGACUCUUAAUCACUGGGUUGGGCGUUCGACUCGCCCAGGGCUCACCA
rnacentral:tRNA from 1 species